UUGGGCGACGAGCCGUUAGUUUUGUUGCCCGAAGGCAAUUGCAGGAAACCAAGAUUUAUUUUGUCGCCCGAAAUGUUAUUAUGUUCGUUGCCCUUAAUGAAGAGUAAGGACUAUAAAUACUUGAAUCCGUUGCCCAAAACACUGAAAAUAAAGGCGGAGUUUUUUCGCCUGCAACAAAGUUUUGAAAUUCAAAUCAUUUUAAUGUUGAGAAUAUUUAUAAACAAAAAGUUUUGGUGAAUUCCUUGACAUUUCACAUAGGCCACAUUUCCUUCUUUCUCUCUAAUACCCUAACCCUGUUUCCUCAUUUCAUCUCUCUCCUUCCUCUCCAUGUUCAUCUCAGAUCUUCUUGAAAGGGAACGAGUAAGGAAUGGACGCCCACAAAUCAUCUCUCGUAGCCUCGACCACCACCCUAGUCUAAUUCUCUAUUUUCUCUCUUCUCUAGUUUGUGCCGACAGUCACACCGUCCACCACUUCAUGGGCUAAAAAUAUGGUUGAUAAUGAUUGCAUGAUACCCACAUUACUUCAAAUGAUUAACGAUCAAGCUAAGGACAAGGAAUUGCAAUACGAUCGAGGUUUUUUUUUUUUUUUUUUUUUUGUUUUUUUUUUCGUAUUUUAGUUAUCAAGUUUUAUGAUUUACCAAUUAGGAAUAUGAACCUGUAAAAUUUUAAUACUUUAAUGAUAUUUCUUGCAAGUAAUUUGUACCUUGAAUAAAUACAUAUAGGAUUAGUGAUUCGUAUA